rnacentral:rRNA from 1 species
UACGAGGGGGGGCGAGCGUUGUUCGGAAUUAUUGGGCGUAAAGGGUGCGUAGGCGGUUCCGCAAGUCCUGUGUGAAAUCUUCGGGCUCAACUCGAAGUCUGCACGGGAAACUGCGGGGCUUGAGUGUGGGAGAGGUGAGUGGAAUUCCCGUGUAGCGGUGAAAUGCGUACGAUAUCAGGAGGAACACCGGUGGCGAAGGCGGGUCUCUGGGCCGAUAUUGACGCUGAGGAGCGAAAGCGUGGGGAGCAAACAGG